rnacentral:tRNA from 1 species
GACGGAGUAGUGUAGCGGUAACAUCCGGUGACGACCGGGACGUGGGUUCAAAUCCCGCCUCCGACC